CAUACCGAGGCCAAUGAUCGAGCCAGCUUGCUGGUGAAGUGACUGAACGAGGUUCCAGGAAAAGCCACUAAGCUUCAGCUACACACGACCGUACCGCAAACCGACACUGGUGCGCGAGAUGAGUAUUCUAAGGCGCUUGAGAGAACUCAGGAGAAGGAACUCGGCAAAUUGACACCGUAACUUCGGAAGAAGGUGUGCCCUAGUAGUGUGAAGUGAACAACGGAGCAUGAAUGGGUUGCAAAAAAUCGGUGGCUGCGACUGUUUAUUAAAAACACAGCACUCUGCAAACACGAAAGUGGACGUAUAGGGUGUGACGCCUGCCCGGUGCUGGAAGAUUAAAUGAUGGGGUGCAAGCUCUUGAUUGAAGUCCCAGUAAACGGCGGCCGUAACGAUAACGGUCCUAAGGUAGCGAAAUUCCUUGUCGGGUAAGUUCCGACCUGCACGAAUGGCGUAACGAUGGCCACACUGUCUCCUCCUGAGACUCAGCGAAGUUGAAAUGUUUGUGAUGAUGCAAUCUCCCCGCGGAAAGACGGAAAGACCCCAUGAACCUUUACUGUAGCUUUGUAUUGGACUUUGAACAGAUCUGUGUAGGAUAGGUGGGAGGCUUUGAAGCAGGGUCGCUAGAUCUUGUGGAGCCAACGUUGAAAUACCACCCUGGUGUGUUUGAGGUUCUAACCUAGGUCCAUUAUCUGGAUCGGGGACAGUGCAUGGUAGGCAGUUUGACUGGGGCGGUCUCCUCCCAAAGCGUAACGGAGGAGUUCGAAGGUACGCUAGUUACGGUCGGACAUCGUGACGAUAGUGCAAUGGCAUAAGCGUGCUUAACUGCGAGACUGACAAGUCGAGCAGAUGCGAAAGCAGGACAUAGUGAUCCGGUGGUUCUGUAUGGAAGGGCCAUCGCUCAACGGAUAAAAGGUACUCUGGGGAUAACAGGCUGAUACCGCCCAAGAGUUCAUAUCGACGGCGGUGUUUGGCACCUCGAUGUCGGCUCAUCUCAUCCUGGGGCUGUAGCCGGUCCCAAGGGUAUGGCUGUUCGCCAUUUAAAGAGGUACGUGAGCUGGGUUUAAAACGUCGUGAGACAGUUUGGUCCCUAUCUUCCGUGGGCGCUGCAGAUUUGAGGAAGCCUGCUCCUAGUACGAGAGGACCGGAGUGGACACACCUCUGGUGUAUCGGUUGUCACGCCAGUGGCAUUGCCGAGUAGCUAAGUGUGGAAGAGAUAACCGCUGAAAGCAUCUAAGCGGGAAACUCGUUUCAAGAUGAGAUCUGCCGGGGCCUUGAGCCCCCUGAAGAGUCGUUCAAGACCAGGACGUUGAUAGGUCAGGUGUGGAAGCGCAGUAAUGCGUUAAGCUAACUGAUACUAAUUGCUCGUGCGGCUUGACCCU
rnacentral:rRNA from 1 species